UACAGGGGGGGCAAGCGUUGUUCGGAAUUACUGGGCGUAAAGGGCCAGUAGGCGGCCAACUAAGUCCGACGUGAAAUCCGCGGGCUUAACCUGGGAACUGCGUUUGAAACUGGAAGGCUAGAGUGUGGCAGAGGGGGGUGGAAUUCCACGUGUAGCAGUGAAAUGCGUAGAUAUGUGGAGGAACACCGAUGGCGAAGGCAGCCCCCUGGGCUAACACUGACGCUCAUGCACGAAAGCGUGGGGAGCAAACAGG
rnacentral:rRNA from 1 species